rnacentral:rRNA from 1 species
AUGCUUUUCCCGAAGAUUAAGCCAUGCAUGCCCCUGAAGAAGAGUAGCAUCUCUGAAUCUGCGAACGGCUCCGCAAACCAGUUGUAACCCAAGGCAAGUUAACACCUGCGUCGCUUCUAGCCGACGGGACCCCUAAACCAGGUCCCCCGGCACGCGGCCUGGUGCAUUUGGAUAUCCACGGUAAUUCUGAGGCUAAUACAUGUUUGUCGGCUUUUGCCGAACACUGAACCUACGCCCCGUAAAAACGGGCUAGGGGCACGUGCGGGCCCGACCUCCCGCUGGACUAGUAACCAACCUCAUGAAAGAACGCACUGUGCAGACCGUCGCUAUACAUGGGUCCUGCUGCUUUCCGCCCGUAAAAACGGCGGAACCAAAGCGGCAGGGCUCGGCGGCGCUUGCCAGGGGCUUCUGACCUAUCAACUAGAUGGCAGCGUAACGGACAUGCCUUGGUGACAACGGGUACAGAGGAUUAGAGUUCGAUUCUGGAGAGUGGGCCUGAGAGAUUGCUCACACUUCUAAGGAAGGCAGCAGGCGCGCAACGUUCCCCAUG